rnacentral:rRNA from 1 species
UACGUAUGGUGCAAGCGUUAUCCGGAUUUACUGGGUGUAAAGGGAGCGUAGACGGCGCUGCAAGUCUGAAGUGAAAGCCCGGGGCUCAACCCCGGUACUGCAUUGGAAACUGUCGUACUAGAGUGUCGGAGGGGUAAGUGGAAUUCCUAGUGUAGCGGUGAAAUGCGUAGAUAUUAGGAGGAACACCAGUGGCGAAGGCGGCUUACUGGACAGUAACUGACGUUGAGGCUCGAAAGCGUGGGGAGCAAACAGG